CGGUUUGUAGUUUAAUUGGCAAAACAUAGUUCUCAUGAAGCUAACAAUGUAGG
rnacentral:tRNA from 12 species